CGGGGUAAUCACGUAAUUUGGCUACUUUGAAACGGCAAUUCGCAAACUUUAAAAACCCUUGAGCAACAACAUCAAAGGGGGAAAGGCAAAUGAUAGAAGAAUGCAUUGUCGGCUUUUUGGUACAAGUAAUCGGAUCACUAAUAAUCGAAGAAUUCAAAUUUUUAUGGGAAGUCAAAGAACAGAUCUACAACUUACAAACCAAGCUCAGAUACCUGCAAUGCUUUCUAAGAGAUACGAAUCAACAAGGUGUAUCAAACAAUGAGCUUCUCCGAACUCAUGUAAAAGAGAUCAGACGACUCGCUCGAGAAAUCGAACAUGUAACCGAUGUUUACACGUUCGUUUUCGGUCGAGGAAGUUGUCUCCAGAAGUGCAUACGUAGGCCUGCUAAUUUGGUGGACAUUCAUCGAAUAGGAGUGAAGAUUGAUCAGAUUCAAAGGAGUAUGCAAGAAGCUGUCGGGGCUUUGAAUGAACUUGGUCCUCUUGGAGCUGCAGGAAGUGUUAGUGAGGAAGAGCAAAGUUCUUCUAUUAUCAGAUCUAGAUUGUGAGAGAAUUCAAAGUGGGGAAUACAAUGCCUGAAUUUCACUAUGGGUAGCUAAUUGCUUCUACCCAAGUUAUGAUCAUAGAUGAUGCGAGAAGUUAGGAGCAAAAACCAUACCGUAUGAGGGGUUGGAUACAGAUUGAGACAAUGAUCGUGAUUCCAGCUGAUCGGUUGGAUUGUCAGAGGAAGAGGGCACAGAUGACUUUGGUGGACAAUUGUAGCAACCAACUGCAGAAAAGACUCAACAGUUAAUGAUUUGCAUUAGCAGACAUCACAAGAAAGGAAAAGAGAAAAAGACGGUCACAACAAGGAGAACGCUAAGCUUACAUGAUCAAAGGGGUCGCUGGUUUCAGCAGUUGAAGGGGGAAUCAGGCAUGAUCGUCGCAUUCUAUACAAGAGGUCCCGACGAAAUAUUACAAUUUCUUGGGAGUAAUACUUUAUUCUGUUCUCCAAACAAGGAAACUAGUCAGAACUUAGAAGUAGUUAAAUCUUAGAAUGUGUACAUUGAAUUCUAUUUCUAUAAGCAUAAAAGCUACGUCAUAAUUCAGAUGGCUAACAUAGUAUUACAACAAAUAUAAUAUUGACUGUUGUUGUUA